GCUCUGGACCCAAGAGUCUAGUUUGAGUCAAAAUCUAUUCAUGUGUAAAUUGGCUAAAUGAUAAACAUCGAAAGCUCAACACCACAACUCGUCUCCGCCCAACCACGAAGAAUGAGGUAACAAGUAUCUUGAUUUAUAUUGGUCCGAACCUGUGAAAUGUUGGAAAUUGCGAUGGGAAUAUUACUCUUGUGAAAAUAAAGAUAUUUCUAUGGAAUCAAGAUGGCCCAACGGUAUUAUGCUCCGAUGCGUAACCGUUACUCCAGCAAUAGGGACCACCCAGUUGAGCGCUACCAAGACUACGAGUGGGAUGGGAAGCUCUUCCUUAUGUCCUACGUCACCGAGUUUUACAAUAGAUGGAUGAACGCUUACGCGUAUGGGGGAGCCACCCAUCACGCGGGAAUCAAAAAGCUCAUCCACACUCUACCAUCUCCUUGGAGCGAGUGGGUAGCCCAAGCGUCUGAGUCAUUCACAUGGUAUAACCCGCCCGAAUACACACCGCGGGGGGACUUGGUCGGCCUUAUAAAGGUGCUACUUCCGGCCAUGACAUCUGCAUCCGACGGACCGCCACGUGAUCCACCUCCACACAUCUAUCCGCCGGGUCAAGCCCGCAUGCGGUAGUAUCGCUACGACGAGGAGCCACAUGUCUCCCGUGCUCCUAAGAGAAGGAGACUCGGGAUGCGUAUCUCGGCCCCUCUAAGAAUAGACAGAGAGGUCGACAGGAUGCUCGGGAUGACCCCUCCGGCCGUAGGUGCCGAGGAGGGAAGUGAGAAAGAGGAACCAGAUGAGGAGGGGGAGGACCCACAUGGAGAGAGUGUUGGAGAGACCGAGGAGAAAGAGGAUGAGGAUGGAGACAUUUAGAAAUAAUAAUUAUGGGAUGUCUUGUUACACUUUCCCCCAUGUUCUGAUACUUUAUUAUUUUGCUUGACCUUACCAUUUUCUGUCCACGGUUGUUUUACUCUUUUUGCCUUCCUUGUGAUGGAUACUAAGACCUCGUAGAGGCAACGUUUUGAUAUUUCUAUGGGGAAUUCUUGUCUUUUGCUA